GGGCCGUUAGCUCAGCGGUAGAGCAGUGGACUUUUAAUCCAUUGGUCGAUGGUUCGAUCCCAUCACGGCCCACCA
rnacentral:tRNA from 9 species